GACGAACGCCGGCGGCGUGCUUAACACAUGCAAGUCGAACGGAAAGGCCCUGCUUUUGUGGGGUGCUCGAGUGGCGAACGCGUGAGUAACACGUGAGUAACCUGCCCUUGACUUUGGGAUAACUUCAGGAAACUGGGGCUAAUACCGGAUAGGAGCUCCUGCUGCAUGGUGGGGGUUGGAAAGUUUCGGCGGUUGGGGAUGGACUCGCGGCUUAUCAGCUUGUUGGUGGGGUAGUGGCUUACCAAGGCUUUGACGGGUAGCCGGCCUGAGAGGGUGACCGGCCACAUUGGGACUGAGAUACGGCCCAGACUCCUACGGGAGGCAGCAGUGGGGAAUAUUGCACAAUGGGCGGAAGCCUGAUGCAGCAACGCCGCGUGCGGGAUGACGGCCUUCGGGUUGUAAACCGCUUUCGCCUGUGACGAAGCGUGAGUGACGGUAAUGGGUAAAGAAGCACCGGCUAACUACGUG
rnacentral:rRNA from 1 species